AUACAAUAUUGUUAUUACUACUAAAAGUGGCUCUGUGUCUACAAACUCGCAACCUUUUGGCUCUAAUCCCCAUUACCAGCUACAAUACCACUUUUCAUUGAUAUCAAGUGCUUUUUUCUUUCAUUUCCUUUCUUCCUUUCUCUUCAUGUUGCAAAACCCCUCAGCCUUAUACACAACUCAUUCCAACCUUGCGUAGCCUCUCUGUAAAUGUUAGUUCUCCUAUCUCCUGCUUACUUCACUUUUGUAUCUUCCUUUUUUGCGUGCAUGUGGAUCUGUGGGCACCUUCUCUUAGUACUUGCAAACCCCAAAGUUAAAUAGAUUCCAAUCUAGAUAGAAAGAGAGGACUGGAGCUAUCUGCAAAAGAUCUGUUUUUUAAUUAGUUGUAUAUCUAGUGAUGUAAAAAGAAGAGGUGAGUAGGAGACCCACACCAUCCAACUCUUGGAGUAGUGAUAUGUUGGUAUAUGGAAGGUGACUUGGUUAUAUUCCCUCCCUUUUCUGCUUUCCAGCCAAUAUAAAUUUGUGGGGAACGUGGGGCCUGAUUUCUAAGUUAACUGGACAAGAGCUAACAGCUCCAAUGCCUGCACAUUUCAUUAAGCUCUUACUUCAUGAUUAAUUUAAAGAUUUCCCAGUGCUACUUUUUCUUUGGUGCUCAGUCUUCUACUUCUGUCAUCUGAGUUCAUUGGCUUCAUAGCCUAAAACGAUUGGUUAGUCAUUUGAAGGGUAGUAAGUUAAUGAAAGUUAGCCAUCUUUUUUCACUCAUAGGAAUAUAUUCUUUUUCUGUUUUUAUGCCCCCCUUACGUCCAUACUUUCUGUACCUAAAGUCUGAUUCCUUAUCCAUUCCAUAGCAAGAUCUUCUGGCAUUUUGCUGUAUCAUUCUCCUUCUUCUACCUUUUACUUUAAACAGUCCAUUAAACAUCUCAAGUUGAAAAACUUCUAGCUGGCAUAAAUAGGAAUGGGGAAAUGCAGUAAAAAAACAACGUAUGCAUACAGAUCAGACAUGGUUUCCAAGUUGGAGUCCAGCUGGAGCUUUCCAGUCUUCCCUGUGGUACUCUUUUACAGUAAUAAUUUACUACAAAGUAGAGGGUAUUCCACUAUUGCUCCUCACUCACAUGGACCACCGUCCUUUCUGUUCCCAAUCGCCCCCCACCAACUGAAAAAUGGGGGGUGUUAUAGUGUUUACAAACAAGCAUCUCUCACAACAACAGUAGCCUAGGUAACUACUCUUCAUUUGGUGUAGUAUUCCCCCCACAUGGUAAAGCUACUUUUCCCCCAUGUGCUACCCACUGAAAUCCUUUGGUUUUCAUUUUCCUGACCAAAGAGUAGAUUGUUAAUCUGUAGAACAAACACAAUGUGGGCUGAUCACAGGAACUAGCGGAGCACUCUGAGGUUCAAAGUAGUGGUCUUUGUUUUUUAGCACACUUGGUAACAAAAUCUAGUGACUUAGGGUCCAAUGUUUGAUAUGCAUUUUGCUUAAGGUUACAUUUGACACGUUAUUUCCGGUGUAAAUAAAAGCUGAUUUGAGAUUGUUGUUGUUGGUCUGCGUAGCUUCAUUAUGGGCAUAUUUGAAUGUCUAUUAUCACUAAGAAAUGGAUUUAUUUGGGCAGUAACACAGGGGAGAGAACAAUGAACCCGGGAUUCAGCGGAGGUGGGGCCGGAACAACCUACACGGGAUCCACCGGCAGCGGCGGGGACGGAGAUGGAGAUGUGUUCGGGAUGAUAUUCGGGAGCGGGACGGCGCCACCCACCACCGCUCCAUGUUUGAUUAAUAAUUUGUUGGUUUUGUCUCUUUCAAUUAUUAUUUGGAUAGGUUUGUACACUAGUACCAACUCAAUAUUCUUCUUCCCCUUAUCAUCUUCAUUAUCACUAUACUAGGGAUUUGAAAAUUCGGAAGAAAUAGACAAAAUUUGUUGAGGAAAAAGAAGAAAUUUCACGAUGCUCAAGUUGUACAUAAUAAAUUACAAUGGAAAAGGUCGAAAUGUAAAAAAAAAAAGAAAAUUUAGGAAAUUUAUAUUUCCAUGCUUGAUUCUGGUUUUACAUGGAGUGAAAUGGAAAGGUGGAAAAGUGAUAUUCUGGGCGUACAACUUGCCACACACUCAGUCUUGUGGAAUUAUAGCAUAUAAUUAGGCAGUGUUAGGCGUAGGAUUAGACUAGUUAGCUAUCCUAAAUGAUUUUAUUUAGUUUAUAUAUCUAGCCUAAUUAACAGCAGAAUAAUUAUAGUA
rnacentral:lncRNA from 1 species